rnacentral:lncRNA from 1 species
UAACUCUUUUUCUCUUCUCUCCGCCGCCGCCGUCGGAAAUCACCCACCGGCGGCGGCCAACCUCCAAACACCCCCAAAUUCACACCAUGUAAUCUCUACAACCUCCUCUUUCCAUAUCUCCAAACCAAAUCCUUCAAAACCCCCUCAAACGCCUUGAAUUUUAGAUCGAGGAAACUUUAGCCGCCACUUUUUUGCCCAAAAUCUUGAAGUUCCGGCCACUACCACCCCACAAUACCUACAUCAACGGAUAGAGCUCAUCAAGACCUACUUAUUUAUGUCAAUUCCAUUCCGAAAAUCCGGCAACUAAAAGUCCGGCCAAAUUCCGGCGACCACCCCGAACACCCUCGUUUGGUAUACCCCUAUUCUCAUUUCCUUUGUCUAUUUUUUCUAAUUGUAUUGUAUUUAGUUUAUGUCUAGCAUAAUUUCUGAUUUUUUUAUUUAUUUAUUUUUAUUAUUAUUAUUAUUUAUAUUUUUAUUAUUAGUUGUGUUUAAUCUAUGUUAGCUUAGUCAUUCAUAGUUAUUAAUCACUGAUAAUUAGUUAUUUAUUAGUUUUAAAAUAGCUAUUUUCUUAGUCAUGAUAGUCUAUGAUAGAAGUUUCAAGUGCUUAGUGAAUUUGUUUUUAUUGAAUUUGAGUAUUUGAAUUUUUGUGUUGAUAAAAGCUGAAAUUAAAGAAGGGAUAGUACAAGUUUGGUUGUUUUUACUGUGCAAAGACUUUGGAGUGCAAAACUCAAAAGUCAUUGUGUGGUGACAAGUACAAUACUUUUUGACAGCUUUUGAACAGUGUUUAGCACACAAAGUCAGUCUUUGGAACAGACUUUUGGUGAACCAAAAUCUGUCCAAAAAAUCUGAUUUAUUUGCCUAUUUAAAGGGAUCUUUACUCACUGAAAAGGGGG